GGCAAAAGCGUGCAAUGAAAAACUAAAUUCAAAUAGUAGAUUGAAUGAAAACACAAUUUCUUCAAAUUUAGAUAGUUGUUUCAAAUGUACUUCGAAUGAAAAUUUGGGAAAAUGUUGGUAUUGUGAUAAGAUAUUUUGUUUUAAUUGCCGAUUUAAAUGUUUUUCAUGCCAAGAAGAUUUUUGCAGAUCCUGUUCAGUUACUCGAUACAUAAACAAUUUGGAUUCAUAUAUGUGCCUCAAUUGUUGUUGAUGUGCCUUAAAAUAUGGAAAGGAAAAAACCAUUAUUUAGAUGAAAGUUGUAUAAUUUUAAUAUGGUAAUUUUUUAAUUAAUGUUACAGACUUAUAAAAUUGUUGAGAAAAGUUUUAAUUCCAAGUUAACAAAAGUUAAUUUUAAUAUCUUCAAUUGUAAUUAGACAGGGUGAUUCAAAAUUGUACGGCAGUAUUUUAGGUGCGUGUUCUCUAGCUUAAAAUAAGCAAGAAAGUUAAUAUAAUGUCAAUAAAUAAUUUAUUUGUCGAGAUACGGGAAGUUAAAGAUAUAUUUUUCUAAAGUCAGAUGUUAAUCAAGUGCGAAAUUAAGUUAUCGUUGCCUGUAUUAAAUGUCAAGGAAGCAUAGUUUAGUGAUGCUGAAUCUUGCAUUCAACAAAACGGCUUAUUUUGAACAAUUUCCUUUGAAUAUUUCAUUAUUCAAUAUCUCUAUGCCCAAUAUCUCAGUAAUAUUUCGUAUAUAUGUUUAUAAGAACUGUUUUUCUUAUUUUGAACUAGAGAAUAAACACCUGAAAUAGUGCCGUACAAUUUUAAAACACCCUAUACCUUAUAAGCCGUCGAAAAUUCAAUCAUUUCUUAAUGAUGUUAUUAUUGGUAGUUAUAUUUGUUUACGAAAAUACUGAGGGUUUGUAACAGUUAUUCAGUGAAUAAAACUCAACCAAUAAAAAAUGUUAUUAGAUCCAAUAUGUUUGGAAUCCUUGAUUAAAAAGUACCGACCUGCGUCAAUAUUUUCUUAGUAUGAAUGUAGAAUGUUUGUUUAGUUCCCGUACGUAAAUUCGAUAAAUUUGAUUCACUUAUGGAGGAAAAAUUCACUAAAUGAGUAAAUUUUUUAGUUAAUUUCUUCAAAAAUUAAUAUUUACCUAAGAAAUUUUUCAAGGCAUGAGAUUAAUUCAGUUACUUGAUCACAAUGUGGUUCGUUGUAAAACAGUUUACUACAAAAUUAGCAAAAUUUAGAAUUUACGUACUAGAAUAAAAUAAUAUGUCAUAAUGUAUUUUUGUAACGUGUGAUUUUUUUAGUGCCUUGAUAAUUAAAUAAUUUAAGUAUAUAUGUGAUUUCCAAAAAAAAUUUUUAAAUAUCGGAUAAUUCUAGUUUAAAUUUGAGAAAAAAUGAGUGCCAUAAUUAAAUAAGAUCCUGUUGAUUGAAUUUGUAAGCAAAUGAGAAGAUAGGGUUUAGCCGAACGAGACAAUUAAGGACAGGGGGUUUAUAGUAUAGGAGAUAUCAUGAAAUUUGUUUUGAGAUUUGUCCAAAAACAGUAUAUAAAAUUAAAUGUAUAAGGCGGUGGAAUAUGUAAGACCGUCACGAAAUUGCAGUUGAAGGUAUACAUAGAUUUAAUCGAUGAAAGGUAACCGUAAGCUCCGAGUUUAAACGGGACAUAUUUUAAAAACAGUCCCCACAGAAAUACUGCUACUAAAUAAUAAACAAAAAUUGUAUUUUAUUUUUUGAGCUAAUUUCGCCGUGAAUAGAUAAAAAUUGAAUAAAAAACUAUUUAUAUUUUCAACUUUUCCAUUCAUGCCGUAAUAUGCAAAAAAUGAUCUAAAAUAUGUCAUUUUAAUUUAUUAUUCAUUAUCAAUAAACAUUUAACUAUGUGGAUAAAAAUUUGUGCAUGUUAUAAAUCUGGGGGAUCCUAGUAAAUUUGUUAUU